AGACACCUGGAGUGUUGUGAAGCGAGUACAUGAGAGAUUGGGGUUAAUGGGCCUUGAACAUAACUGGCAAAAUUAAAUGAGUAUUGAGUAGUCCAAGUAGUCACAUAGAAAGCAUUCUCAGCAGAACUCCUACCCCAAUCCCCUUGUGUUGACUGUCUGUUGACUGUCCCCAGACCACCUAUGUCUUACUUGCCCUUCUUUCCCCCUGCGUCUUCACCUCCAGCAGGACUCCCUGGUAGGACGGUACCAAUAGUUCAUACUAUCUAUGCCAUCCAACUUCCUUUCUCUCCCUACUGUUUAUUUCUACUACAUACCCUAAGAUAGU
rnacentral:lncRNA from 1 species